CCUACGGGAGGCAGCAGUAGGGAAUCUUUCACAAUGGGCGAAAGCCUGAUGGAGCAACGCCGCGUGCAGGAUGAAGGCCUUCGGGUUGUAAACUGCUUUUAUAAGCGAGAAAUAUGAUGGUAACUUAUGAAUAAGGAUCGGCUAACUACGUGCCAGCAGCCGCGGUCAUACGUAGGAUCCGAGCAUUAUCCGGAGUGACUGGGUGUAAAGAGUUGCGUAGGUGGCAUAAUAAGUAGCUAGUGAAAUCUGGUGGCUAAACUAUUCAGACUAUUAGCUAAACUGUUAAGCUCGAGACCGUUAGGGGUAACUGGAAUUUCUAGUGUAGGAGUGAAAUCCGUAGAUAUUAGAAGGAACACCAAUAGCGUAGGCAGGUUGCUGGGACGGUUCUGACACUAAGGCACGAAAGCGUAGGGAGCAAACGGGAUUAGAUACCCCAGUAGUC
rnacentral:rRNA from 1 species